CCUCUGACUAGAAAGCGUCUUCUUCUUCUUUCAAUGUUUUGAUGUUAAUUGCUUCAAGCCUUUCUAAUGAGGUUUUGAAAAUGCAGGAGGAUGAUAUGCUUAGAGAGUAGAUCACCAUCCAUGGAACUGAAAGCUGGACAGCUAUUGCAGCACAAUUCAAGGAUAAAACAGGCAGGCAGUGCAGGAGAAGAUGGUACACGUAUUUGAAUUCAGACUGCAAGAAAGGAGGGUGGACGCUGGAGGAAUACAUGAUCUUAUGUGAGGUAAGUGCUACUAGAAGAUUAUUUUAAGGUGGAGUUGAUAGAGACAACUAUCUGUAUAUGCAGGAAGGAGUGCUCUAUGUAUUUUAGCCACUAAUGUAGUACAUCUAUAAUAGUAGUAUUUGAAGUUAGAACCUUUCUCUAGGAGUUUCACUCCUUAGUGUGUUUCCUUAUAUAAGGGUGACUUAGAGUGGAGUAUUUCAGUGUUAACUGGAACUAGACUCUGUGUUAGUGAAGUUUCUUUAUUGGUUUUUCUUUCCCCUAGCAUGCUCUCUGUCUUGCUUUAUACCCAGAGGUAUAGGUAUAGUUUCC